rnacentral:rRNA from 1 species
AUGCUCUGGUUUGAUUGCUGUUGCAGGUCAGAGAUGGCGGACCGAGCUAACCACCCGUCUGUCAUGCAGAAGUUUGGUGGACAGUUCCACCUUGCCUCCAGCUUCUCUGAGGGUGUUCGUGCUCGCAACAUCUGCCCUUCUGUGCCAUCCUAUGAGAGGCGCUUCACCACAAGCAGCUACAUGACUCAGAACCUUGGCAUCAGUGUCCCAAUCAUGUCAUCUUCUCCAAUGUUUGCCAAUGCACCCCCUGAGAAGAAAGGUGUCAAGAACUUUGCGAUUGAUUUCCUCAUGGGAGGAGUGUCAGCUGCAGUUUCCAAGACUGCUGCAGCUCCCAUUGAGCGUGUUAAGCUGCUUAUCCAGAACCAGGAUGAGAUGAUCAAGGCUGGCAGGCUCUCUGAGCCAUACAAGGGUAUUGGUGACUGCUUUGGGCGCACCAUCAAGGAUGAAGGCUUUGGCUCAUUGUGGAGAGGAAACACUGCUAACGUCAUCCGUUACUUCCCAACUCAGGCUUUGAACUUUGCUUUCAAGGAUUACUUCAAGAGGAUGUUCAACUUUAAGAAGGACAAGGAUGGUUACUGGAAGUGGUUUGGUGGCAACCUUGCUUCUGGUGGUGCCGCUGGUGCUUCCUCGCUGUUCUUUGUGUACUCCCUUGACUAUGCUAGGACAAGGCUGGCCAAUGACGCAAAGGCAUCCAAGGGUGGAGGUGAAAGGCAAUUCAAUGGCCUGGUUGAUGUCUACCGCAAGACUCUCAAGUCAGAUGGUAUUGCUGGGCUUUACCGUGGAUUCAACAUCUCCUGUGUUGGAAUCAUUGUCUACCGUGGUCUGUACUUUGGACUCUAUGAUUCUCUGAAGCCAGUUCUCCUCACUGGCACUCUCCAGGACAACUUCUUUGCCAGCUUUGCUCUUGGUUGGUUGAUCACCAAUGGUGCAGGUCUUGCAUCUUACCCCAUUGACACUGUCCGCAGAAGGAUGAUGAUGACCUCCGGAGAGGCCGUCAAGUACAAGAGCUCCUUGGAUGCUUUCCAGCAGAUCCUGAAGAAGGAGGGUGCCAAGUCCCUCUUCAAGGGGGCUGGUGCCAACAUCCUCCGUGCCAUUGCUGGUGCUGGUGUGCUCUCCGGCUAUGAUCAGCUCCAGAUCCUCUUCUUCGGCAAGAAGUACGGCUCAGGCGGUGCCUAG